rnacentral:rRNA from 1 species
CCUACGGGGGGCAGCAGUGGGGAAUAUUGGACAAUGGGGGGAACCCUGAUCCAGCCAUGCCGCGUGUGUGAAGAAGGCCCUCGGGUUGUAAAGCACUUUCAGUGAGGAAGAACGCCUGGUGGUUAAUACCCAUCAGGAAAGACAUCACUCACAGAAGAAGCACCGGCUAACUCCGUGCCAGCAGCCGCGGUAAUACGGAGGGUGCGAGCGUUAAUCGGAAUUACCGGGCGUAAAGCGCGCGUAGGUGGCUUGAUAAGCCGGUUGUGAAAGCCCCGGGCUCAACCUGGGAACGGCAUCCGGAACUGUCAAGCUAGAGUGCAGGAGAGGAAGGUAGAAUUCCCGGUGUAGCGGUGAAAUGCGUAGAGAUCGGGAGGAAUACCAGUGGCGAAGGCGGCCUUCUGGACUGACACUGACACUGAGGUGCGAAAGCGUGGGUAGCAAACAGGAUUAGAUACCCUUGUAGAC